rnacentral:rRNA from 1 species
CCUACGGGAGGCAGCAGUGAGGAAUAUUGGUCAAUGGACGAGAGUCUGAACCAGCCAAGUAGCGUGAAGGAUGACUGCCCUAUGGGUUGUAAACUUCUUUUAUAUGGGAAUAAAAUGUUCCACGUGUGGGAUUUUGUAGGUACCAUAUGAAUAAGGAUCGGCUAACUCCGUGCCAGCAGCCGCGGUAAUACGGAGGAUCCGAGCGUUAUCCGGAUUUAUUGGGUUUAAAGGGAGCGUAGGUGGAUUGUUAAGGCACUUGGGAAAGUUUGCGGGUCAACCGUAAAAUUGAAGUUGAAACUGGCAGUCCUGAGGUCAGUAGGGGGUAGCCGGAGUCGUGGUGGUGCGGUUAAAUGCUUAGAUAUCACGAAGAACUCCGAUUGGGAAGGCAGCUCACUGGACUGCAACUGAC